CCUACGGGUGGCUGCAGUGGGGGAUAUUGCACAAUGGGGGGAACCCUGAUGCAGCGACGCCGCGUGGGUGAAGGAGCGCCUCGGCGCGUAAAGCCCUGUCAGCAGGGAAGAAAAUGACGGUAGCUGAAGAAGAAGCCACGGCUAAAUAAGUGCCAGCAGCCGCGGUAAUACGUAGGGGGCAAGCGUGAUCCGGAUUUACGGGGUGUAAGGGGGGCGCAGACGGCGAUGCAAGCCAGGGGUGAAAGCCCGGGGCCAAAGCCCGGGACUGCUCUUGGAACUGCGUGGCUGGAGUGCAGGAGGGGCAGGCGGAAUUCCUGGUGUAGCGGUGAAAUGCGUAGAUAUCAGGAGGAACACCGGUUGCGAAGGCGGCCUGCUGGACUGCAACUGACGUUGAGGCCCGAAAGCGUGGGGAGCAAACAGGAUUAGAUACCCUUGUAGUC
rnacentral:rRNA from 1 species